rnacentral:misc_RNA from 1 species
UUUCCGUAGGUGAACCUGCGGAAGGAUCAUUAUCGUACAGAAUGUGAGGGACAUGCUAGGGAUGUCGAUCACUCACAAGUCGUGCACGCCCGACUGUGUCCUCUUGCAUAACCAUCCAUCACACCCUGGGUGCAUCACCGAGUGGGCACCCUUCGGGAUCAUUUUGGAGGGUGGCUAGCGAUUUCACAAAAACCCCCCAUAUAAAAGUUUAGAAUUACCACAUCUAUGCAAUACAUACAACUUUCAACAACGGAUCUUUUGGCUCUCGGCUCGUAAAAG